rnacentral:tRNA from 1 species
UGGCUCAGAGGUUAAAGCAUCUGUCUGGAAUGCAGGAGACCCGGGUUCGAUUCCUGG